CUUUUUGAUGGAGUCCCAUUAAGCCAUUACGAGAUGACAUUUUGCCUGGGACUUGGCUACCAGUUGGCGGAGCACAAGGGGUGAAAAGGGGACCAAUGGAUUAGAAUCAGGGGACUCAAAAUUCAAACUGGAUGGAAGAAAUCUGAGCAUUGUGACAGAGCCCACUGCCUCCACCUGGGACAGGAAGAAGACAAAAUCUGUCAGUUUUCCUCUAUCCUUCCUUUUGUGGAGUGCUGGGUCCUUCAGCAAUGCCUGGCAUGAAGAGAAUAGGAAAGCAACCUCUGCUCUCCCUGAUUCUGUUAGGGGAUCUGGGGGCCAGCAGACUCCCUACCCAGUGGCCUUUGGAGAAGUUGCCAGCUAUUGGAUCCAAUGAGUGUAUGUCCUAGUUGGUUUCAAAGGGCACCCAGGCCCCAGACACAAGUUGGCUGGGGAACCAGACAGCUCUUCUCUGGUCUGGGCAACUCUGGCCCACAUCUCAACCACUCAGCCCUUCUGAAGGACUGGGCUUGGCACAGCACUUCCUCCCCAGACCCCACAGACUUGGCUGCUUGGUUUAUUUCACACAGAGACUUGAGUGUCACCACAUGGGGACUUCUCUCCUGGACCCCACCUCCCUGUGGCUCCCUAGAAAUUGACUGGGCAAAUGUCCAACAGGUCCCUCGAGCUUGUAGAGUACUGUCCCUUUGGGCCACAGACCCUGUAAGUGCUUGGCUGAGUCCCUAAAAGCAAGAAGCAUGGGGAGGCUGGGGCCUGGGGCCUGGGGAUAGAUUCAAAAGCAAGUAUAUGGUGCAGGGUACAACCCCCAAAACCACAGAACUGACGCAUACAAGAUCAUUGGCAAGAUAGGGGCUUCCCUAAGGUUGUGCAGAGUCCGUGGCUGAGCUGGGUCCAGCCUGAGCCCUUGACUGUGGCCUCAAGCACCAUCCACCUGACCAUAGGAGGCAUAGCCACGGAGCCUCAGACGGCAGAGUUACUGGGCUGGGUGCAGAAGGACAUUUGAAUUCAGGAUAAUUUUCCUCGAAAAACAAUGGGCUUAGGUGGUUACAUAUUUCCUGUGAGACAACCGUGAUGGAUGUCGCUGGCAACAUUCAUUAGGAUGUCAGGGAAGGCCAGCCAGAACCCAAGCGUUGGUCCCUGUCAUGCACCCCCAUGCACCUUGUAGAAGUCACAGCCCUUGGCAGGUCCUGUGCUGUGGCGGCCAUCUGCAUCGAUCACCCCCCACCCCCAAAGAGGACCAGACUUGUUUGUCUUGUUUCCUGAAUGGCCCCAACCCCACAACAGCCCAGGGUGCAGUUCAAUUAGUAUCUGUUGAAAUAAUUAAUUAGUUAAUUAAUUCCACCCUGUAGAACCAGCUCUCCAGGUGGAAAGGUGUUUAGCAUUCUGACCCCAAACCCAAGGAAGCAUCUCUCUCCAAGGCAGCCCCCACCACAAUAGCCAGCCUCUUUCCUGCUCUGCUCCCCAUGGGGCAGACCCUGGGCCGGGCUCCUCUGGAUGCCAGCUGAACAGCGCGUACCCCAUGCCACACAUGCUUCCCGGCUCCUGUGAAAGAAUGCUGUGUCUCUCUUAACGCUACUCUACCACACCCUCUCUGUUCUUAGCCAUACUGCAUGCUGAGCUCACAGCUGACUAACUGCCACCCUGACCCCAGCCCCCUCUCUUGAACAAGCACCCCAGAUUUGGGGAGUUGGCUUUGGAGCCCCCCAGAUUUUAUCUUACUGGAUUUGUUCCUUCGUGUGGACCAUCAGGGCAGGUCUACAUGCUACCUCUCCUCUAAUGGAUUUGUUGUCCUUCCCAAACAAACAGGAAGCUGUUGUUCUGUUUUCUUCCACUUAUUUGAUUGGAGCAUACACUGGGCAGCAUUUAAGACAGAGCCCUGUGGCAUGCCACUAGAGACUCAGCAGGAAGACAGUGGUCUGUUUAAUUGACAUUAUUGAACCCUCUCUUCAUGAGUUACAAGUGCAUCAAGCUGGACCAUCAGCCAGCUCCGACUUUCUUCCCAACCUUGGCCCCAUCCUCUCUACUCAUUUCCUUUAUAUCAUAGUUCCUCUCCAGGUCUCUCCAUUUCCUUCUUUUGCUCAUUAUUGCAACUUCCAUAAGAAAAUAUACAUCAUGUCUAGGUCCACAGUGUGAGUGAGAAAAACCCUGAUCUAGCCCAAAUGGCCCUUAUGGGUUUUCUUGUGACUGCACAAAACUAACAUAAAACCCAUGUGUGAUAAAUGUCCAUGGACGAAAGGAAAGACACGUGAGCGAGUUUGUCAAAUUCCUUUUUGGGAUUCAAAUCUAUGUGUUAAACUGCAUUCUUCUGGAAUAUGAACAUUUGUCGAUCCCAGUUUCCCUAGAAAGAGCCAACCAAGCCUGAGACCUCGCUGGCAUGCUGAUGCUUUAUUGGGAUGGAGAACAAUUUCAGGGCACUCAGGGAGGGCAAAAGAAUGGAUCCUGAGCUAGGCUGAGUACUGUCUUCCAAAACUCGUGUUCAUGGGGAACCUAAUUUGGAAAUAGGAUCUUUACAGGUAUAAUUAGUUAAGGGGAGGUCCUGCCGGAUUCAGAUGGGCCUUAAAUCUCAUGACUUGGUGUCCUUAUAAAAGAAGCAAUACGGAGAUGGGCACGCCCAGGGAAGAGGGAGGCAGAGAUCAGAGAAAUGGAACUACAAGCCAAGGGGUGUCAAACAUCGCCAGCCAGCACAAGAAGCUAUGAGAGGCGAAGGAGCAUUCUUCCAUAGAGCCUCCCAAGGAGCUGGGCCCUGCUGACACCUUGAUGUGAGACUUCUGGCCUCCACAGCUAUGAGAGAAUAAUUUCUGCUGUGUUAAGCCACCCCUGUAUGGCAUGUAGUUGAGGCAGCCCUAGGAAACCAAGCCCGAGGCAAAGUAAAAACAAGGUUGUUUCGUUUACCUGCAUACACAAAAAGGUUGAACGAUGAACUUUGUGUCAUGUGUAUUGAACCACCAUUUUAAAACUUGGGCAACCAAAAGAGGCAGGAUGUACCUGGACAGGCUGUUUGGAACCACGGCUCCUUGGAGAAGCCUGUCAGCGGGGAAGAAAUAAAAGGAAUCGAU